UACAGAGGUCUCAAGCGUUGUUCGGAUUCAUUGGGCGUAAAGGGUGCGUAGGCGGCGCGGUAAGUCGGGUGUGAAAUCUCGGGAGCUUAACUCCGAAAACUGCAUUCGAUACUGCCGUGCUUGAGGACUGGAGAGGAGACUGGAAUUUACGGUGUAGCGGUGAAAUGCGUAGAUAUCGUAAGGAAGACCAGUGGCGAAGGC
rnacentral:rRNA from 1 species